rnacentral:pre_miRNA from 1 species
AGUAGAAUUGCAGGGUCAUAUGGUAACUUUGUUUAACUUUUUGAGGAACUGUCAAAUUAUUUUCUAAAGUAGCCAUACCAUUUUAUACUCCCAUCAGCAGU